rnacentral:tRNA from 1 species
UCCGGCGUGGUCUAGUGGUUAGGAUAUCUGGCUCUCACCCAGGAGGCCCGGGUUCGAUUCCCGGCGUCGGAA